rnacentral:rRNA from 1 species
CAGAUAUUACGAACCAGAGUUUAAAAUCUAAAGAUUUUGGCAGUGUUUUAUAAAACCAGGGGAACCUGCCCCAUAAUUCGAUAGUCCACGACUACCAAACCACUUUUUGAAUGCCAGCUUGUGUACUGCCGUUGUAAGCAUACCUUUAAAAGAUAGUGUGCUACUAUGAUAAAUUACUUACUCACUUACAUCAGGUCAAAGUGCAGCUAAUAAAGUGGUGGUGGUGGGUUACAAUCUAAAAAAAGAAAUGGAUUAAGUAAUGAAAUUUCUAACUUAUAAAAGCGGACUUGGACGUAAUUAAAUAAAAAAAUAAAUAAAUGAAUAAUAAUCUAAAACAUGUACACAUCGCCCG